rnacentral:rRNA from 1 species
UAUAGGUUUGGUCCCAGCCUUCCUGUUAACUUUCAAUAGACUUAUACAUGCAAGCAUCCACGCCCCGGUGAGUAACGCCCUUCGAAUCACACAGGACUAAAAGGAGCAGGUAUCAAGCACACACUCUUGUAGCUCACAACGCCUUGCUUAACCACACCCCCACGGGAGACAGCAGUAACAAAAAUUAAGCCAUAAACGAAAGUUUGACUAAGCCAUAUUGACCAGGGUUGGUAAAUCUCGUGCCAGCCACCGCGGUCAUACGAUUGACCCAAGCUAACAGGAGUACGGCGUAAAGCGUGUUAAAGCAUCAUACUAAAUAGAGUUAAAUUUUAAUUAAACUGUAAAAAGCCAUAAUUAUAACAAAAAUAAAUGACGAAAGUAACCCUACAAUAGCUGAUACACAAUAGCUAAGACCCAAACUGGGAUUAGAUACCCCACUAUGCUUAGCCCUAAACACAAAUAAUUAU